GUUGCUUCAGAAAUAGGAACAAUCCACAAGUUCAAGGCUUCCUCCUGGCUCUCGGGGGCCCCACUGACUUGGGGAGCAGAGACGUUCUCCCGAAGACCAGGGGGUCCCACGAGCCCCAUCCUGCUGCAUCUGUGGGCACGAACUUCGUGGAAGUUCAGACACUGCUGGAAGUCCUUUCUUUCAUUUUAAGAAUAAUGUAUUGAGGUGAGAUUCACAGAACAUAAACUUAACCACUUCAGAGUGUCCAAUUAAGUGGCAUUUAGUACAU